rnacentral:rRNA from 1 species
UACGUAGGGUGCGAGCGUUAAUCGGAAUUACUGGGCGUAAAGCGUGCGCAGGCGGUUCGUUAUGUCCGAUGUGAAAGCCCCGAGCUCAACUUGGGAAUGGCAUUGGAAACUGGCGGGCUGGAGUGUGGCAGAGGGGGGUGGAAUUCCACGUGUAGCAGUGAAAUGCGUAGAGAUGCGGCGGAACACCGAUGGCGAAGGCAGCCCCCUGGGCUGAGAUUGACGCUCAGGCACGAAAGCGUGGGGAGCAAACAGG